GACGAACGCUGGCGGCGUGCUUAACACACGCAAGUCGAGCGGUAAGGCCCUUUCGGGGGUACACGAGCGGCGAACGGGUGAGUAACACGUGGGUGACCUGCCCUCAGCUCUGGGAUAAGCCUGGGAAACCGGGUCUAAUACUGGAUAUGACUCCAUGACGCAUGUUGUGGGGUGGAAAGCCUUGUGCGGCUGAGGAUGGGCCCGCGGCCUAUCAGCUUGUUGGUGGGGUGAGGCCUACCAAGGCGACGACGGGUAGCCGGCCUGAGAGGGCGACCGGCCACACUGGGACUGAGACACGGCCCAGACUCCUACGGGAGGCAGCAGUGGGGAAUCUUGCGCAAUGGGCGAAAGCCUGACGCAGCGACGCCGCGUGAGGGAUGACGGCCU
rnacentral:rRNA from 1 species